rnacentral:rRNA from 1 species
CCGGAUUUAUUGGGCGUAAAGCGCGUCUAGGUGGUUAUGUAAGUCUGAUGUGAAAAUGCAGGGCUCAACUCUGUAUUGCGUUGGAAACUGUAUAACUAGAGUACUGGAGAGGUAAGCGGAACUACAAGUGUAGAGGUGAAAUUCGUAGAUAUUUGUAGGAAUGCCGAUGGGGAAGCCAGCUUACUGGACAGAUACUGACGCUGAAGCGCGAAAGCGUGGGUAGCAAACAGGAUUAGAUACCCUGGUAGUCCACGCCGUAAACGAUGAUUACUAGGUGUUGGGGGUCGAACCUCAGCGCCCAAGCAAACGCGAUAAGUAAUCCGCCUGGGGAGUACGUACGCAAGUAUGAAACUCAAAGGAAUUGACGGGGACCCGCACAAGCGGUGGAGCAUGUGGUUUAAUUCGACGCAACGCGAGGAACCUUACCAGCGUUUGACAUCUUAGGAAUGAGACAGAGAUGUUUCAGUGUCCCUUCGGGGAAACCUAAAGACAGGUGGUGCAUGGCUGUCGUCAGCUCGUGUCGUGA